AUUGAACGCUGGCGGCAGGCCUAACACAUGCAAGUCGAGCGCGCGGCGGGCGGGGGAGUAAUGUAUGGGGGCUGCCGGUUAGAGGGGGGGAAAACCUGGAAAAGGUGGCUAAAACCGCAUACUGUAGGAUAAACCAUAUGGGGGUAGAUAGUAGGUAAGGUAAUGGCUUACCUAGGCGACGAACCCUAGCUGGUCUGAGAGGAUGAUCAGCCACACUGGGCCUGAGACACGGCCCAGACUCCUACGGAGGCAGCAGUGGGGAAUAUUGCACAAUGGGCGCAAGCCUGAUGCAGCCAUGCCGCGUGUAUGAAGAAGGCCCUAGGGUUGUAAAGUACUUUCAGUCGGGAGGCGUUACCGACAGAAGAAGCACCGGCUAACUCCGUGCCAGCAGCCGCGGUAAUAC
rnacentral:rRNA from 1 species